CGGGAAACGGUUGCUAAUACCCCGUAAGCUGAGGAGCAAAAGGGAGGGAUCCGCCCAAGGAUAGGCUUGCGUCUGAUUUAGCUGGUUGGUGAGGCAAUGGCUUACCAAGGCAACGAUCAGUAGCUGGUCUGAGAGGAUGAUCAGCCACACUGGGACUGAGACACGGCCCAG
rnacentral:rRNA from 1 species